CUGGACUGGAGGGAGGAGAUACGGAAAUGAAAUCGGUCAUGAAUACGACGAUUUUCUAUUUUAAUUUUGAAGCUGUUUCUGGAACCGGAUCAGCUGAUCAGGACUGACUCACCACUUCCCGGAGAAACAUGUAGAGCAGAGAAACCAGAAACCAGAGACCAGAGACCAGAACCCUGAACCCUGAAGACCUGGAGACCAACUGGAAGCACCAGAUCUGACUCAGAAGAUAAAACCUGAACCAGGUCCAGACCUGAUACAAACGGCAGCUCGGGGAUUUACUUAGCACUGGUUUUUCCCCAGACUCUGGUCCUGGUCCUGAUCCUGGUCCUGGUCCUGGUCCUGGCUGUGCCUCCAGACUCUGGUCCUGGUCCUGAUCCUGGUCCUGGUCCUGGUCCUGGCUGUGCCUCCAGACUCUGGUCCUGGUCCUG